CAAAGUGUAGCUUAAUCAAAGCAUCUCGCUUACACCGAGAAAACAUCUGUGAAACCCAGGUCAUUUUGAG
rnacentral:tRNA from 1 species